UACGUAGGGUGCGAGCGUUGUCCGGAAUUAUUGGGCGUAAAGAGCUCGUAGGCGGUCUGUCGCGUCCGUUGUGAAAACUCGAGGCUCAACCUCGGGAUUGCAGUGGAUACGGGCAGACUAGAGUGCGGUAGGGGAGACUGGAAUUCCUGGUGUAGCGGUGGAAUGCGCAGAUAUCAGGAGGAACACCGAUGGCGAAGGCAGGUCUCUGGGCCGCAACUGACGCUGAGGAGCGAAAGCAUGGGGAGCGAACAGG
rnacentral:rRNA from 1 species